AACGAACGCUGGCGGCAUGCCUAACACAUGCAAGUCGAACGAGACCUUCGGGUCUAGUGGCGCACGGGUGCGUAACGCGUGGGAAUCUGCCCUUGGGUUCGGAAUAACAGUUAGAAAUGACUGCUAAUACCGGAUAAUGUCUUCGGACCAAAGAUUUAUCGCCCAGGGAUGAGCCCGCGUAGGAUUAGCUAGUGGUGAGGUAAAGGCUCACCAAGGCGACGAUCCUUAGCUGGUCUGAGAGGAUGAUCAGCCACACUGGGACUGAGACACGGCCCAGACUCCUACGGGAGGCAGCA
rnacentral:rRNA from 1 species